GAUGAGAUGACCAAGCGGUUAAGGCAAUGGGCUCUAUUAUGUUUUGCAGGUGUGGGUUCAAAUCCCAUUCUUGUUG
rnacentral:tRNA from 1 species